rnacentral:rRNA from 1 species
UAGGGAAUCUUCGGCAAUGGGGGCAACCCUGACCGAGCAACGCCGCGUGAGUGAAGAAGGUUUUCGGAUCGUAAAGCUCUGUUGUAAGAGAAGAACGUGUGUGAGAGUGGAAAGUUCACACAGUGACGGUAACUUACCAGAAAGGGACGGCUAACUACGUGCUAGCAGCCGCGGUAAUACGUAGGUCCCGAGCGUUGUCCGGAUUUAUUGGACGUAAAGCGAGCGCAGGCGGUUUAAUAAGUCUGAAGUUAAAGGCAGUGGCUUAACCAUUGUUCGCUUUGGAAACUGUUAAACUUGAGUGCAGAAGGGGAGAGUGGAAUUCCAUGUGUAGCGGUGAAAUGCGUAGAUAUAUGGAGGAACACCGGUGGCGAAAGCGGCUCUCUGGUCUGUAGCUGACGCUGAGGCUCGAAAGCGUGGGGGGCAAACAGG